rnacentral:sRNA from 1 species
GUGGUCAAGGUGAAGCCCCACGACAAGGAUGCCAAAAUGAAAUACCAGGAGUGCAACAAGAUCGUGAAGCAGAAGGCCUUUGAGCGGGCCAUCGCGGGUGACGAGCACAAGCGCUCCGUGGUGGACUCGCUGGACAUCGAGAGCAUGACCAUUGAGGAUGAGUACAGCGGACCCAAGCUUGAGGACGGCAAAGUGACAAUCACUUUCAUGAAGGAGCUCAUGCAGUGGUACAAGGACCAGAAGAAACUGCACCGGAAAUGCGCCUACCAGGUAAUGCACCUGUCAGGUACCGGGCAUCCGGGAACCCUGGGAUGGCAUCACAGCACUGCCAGCCACAGGCACUGAGCAAAACAACAGGAGAAGGGCGGCCAUGACAGCCAGCACCGAGCAGGAGUCGUG